UCAAACCGGCGUGAGCCAGGUUGGUUUCUAUCCUUAAUUAAUUAAAAUAUUUUAGUACGAAAGGAUUAAAUAUUUAAAAAAUUUUUUUGUUAAAGAAUAAAAUUAAU
rnacentral:rRNA from 2 species